rnacentral:rRNA from 1 species
CCUGAGAAACCCAAAAGAUCGAAUGAGGAGAUUCAUCGUCAACGAUAAUGAUUUGCGUGCGGUACGCGAUACUGAAUAAUUCAUUAUUACGGUACGUUAUCGCUGCGUUUAAAUCAUUUAUUGUCGUCGUGCACUUCUCCUCUAGUAGAACGUCGCGACCCGUUAGGUGUUGGUUUACGAUCCGGUCUUAUCGAUUGCAACGUAAACGUUUCGGCGUUUUUAACGUUACAAAUGAUCGUGAUUUCUAACCGACUGCCUGACGGUAAUAUUAUAAUACUUUUAUGGUAUUGAGCCGCAUUAAGUGCGUUCUUGGCCCUUGGGCAGGUUCGUCUAUUUUUGUAACGGACCUAGCGCCGUUGCAAAUAAUUAGAUUGAACUGUUGGUUCAAGGUGUCCUCGGACCGGCUCUUUAAUAAUUAUAUUCUUACGGAUAUACCAGUCUGCGACGCUACUGCUUUGGGUACUUUC